CCUACAGGACGUACCCCCACACCUCACCCUCUUCAAGAAGCCCCGCGGAGCACGAGGCUCCCGCCAACGCCUGAGUUACAGGCUGGCCCGCCCGGCAGCAGCAGAACAUCACCAACGUCUCGUCUUUGGAAGCCCAGGGAGCUACCUCGACCCACCGAGCGGGGAGGUCACCCCACACACAAACAGCACCUCAACCUGCACCCUCUGACGGGACAGGGAGGGGUCACUCCCACCAGCUGGAUGGCUAAAGCAGCCGGCUGCAACGCUGCAGCCUCCCCACACCUGAUUACAGGGCGGGCGGGCUGCUCAGGGACAGAGGGCUCCAAAGCUUGGGACACACACCCCGAGUACGGGGCUGUCACCGCCGCCAGCAGGACAGGCGGCCACGCAAGGACAGGCCCAAGCCCUGGCUACAGGGAGGCCUUGGCCACAGAACUACCGUGUGGCUCUGAUCUGCACUAAGGAAAAUAGUAGGAAGACAGGACACUCGCUGCGCUCGCAGGACUAAGAGGGAACACCCCUUUUGCGGCAUGCACCAAAGUCCUCCAUUCCCCCCUGGGAAGUCAAAGCUAAGCUGCAGCCAUCUUUGUGGAGGCCUAAAGGGAAAGCACAGCCGCUCACCACUCCACAAACACAAACAAGGAAAGGAAGGGGAACACGCACACACAGGCACGACUUUCCAGAAGGGAAGGACAACGCAGCACAGCCAACACCUGGGAAUAAACCCACAACCACGGGCAACAGACAAGAGCCUGUGACCUGUCCCUAGGCUGCACGGAGGCCACAGACCUCAACGUGCCAAGGGGCUUCUCAGGUAAAGCCAGCACAACGCCAGCCUGGUCACCAAAGGCGCCGGCAGCUCUCAACUCAAACGUGACUGUGCCCCUGCUAACGGGACAGGUGCUUUGCCCAGGGAGCCUCUCUCCUUCCCCCCCGCAUCUGCACGCUUCCGCUUCCUCUUCUUGCUUGCUCCUGCCUCCCAGCUCCCCACGCCGCUUCUUCUUCUUCCUUCUGCAGCAGCUCCUGAAACAUCAGCGGGGACACCGUUAGACCUGCAGGGUGGCAAGCCCCCCCACC
ensembl:lncRNA